GUUUCUUUGGUGUAACGAACACAUAACAUUUUCAUUGUUAAACUGAAAUCUUCAAGAAAUA
rnacentral:tRNA from 1 species